UACGUAGGGUGCAAGCGUUAAUCGGAAUUACUGGGCGUAAAGCGUGCGCAGGCGGUGAUGUAAGACAGAUGUGAAAUCCCCGGGCUCAACCUGGGAACUGCAUUUGUGACUGCAUCGCUGGAGUGCGGCAGAGGGGGAUGGAAUUCCACGUGUAGCAGUGAAAUGCGUAGAGAUGUGGAGGAACACCGAUGGCGAAGGCAGCCCUCCGGCGGCACACUGACGCUCAUGCACGAAAGCGUGGGGAGCAACAGG
rnacentral:rRNA from 1 species